GACAGUGACAAACAUUUGGGUUGGGGAAGCAGGAGGACAAACCUAUCUUUAGGUUUUUGUUAUUCAGGUCUAUGCUGAUUUCCUGAAAACUGCAAAACUCUUGAAACGAAUGGAUAAUUCAUGCUCUUGCAUUCUAAAAAACCUUUUUAAAAAAAACUUGCUGUUGGGUCGGAUAAGAUUGCUCAGUGGAUAAGUACACUUGUCAAAGAAAGAGGGCCUACGUUCAAAUCUUUAGCACCUCUGUAAAAGCUGGGCAUGGCUGUUUGUUCUUGUAACCACGGACUUGAGAGACAAAAAGGCAGGUGCCAAGAGUUCAUUGGCUGGCCAACCCAAUCAAAACCUCAAGUUUCAGGUUCAGCGAGAGACUGUCUCAAGGACUAAGGGUGAAUCUGUGCUGCUCAUGUAUUCCUGGAUAUGUGACCCUCCCUCAUACAGAACACUAUCUUUCCCUCCCCCGGCAGCCAACAAUGACCGAUCACCACUCCACAGCUAGUGAACUGAGGAUCCACUUAAUACCCCCUUGAUCUCAUGACAUCAGGACACUGGACCAGCUGACGCUUACCAUUGACCUUAUCAUGCAUAAACUGCUCCCCAACUAGAGAAUGUGAUCAACUGUGUUCCAGGUAGAAGAAGUCCAAUACCCCUUGUAUAGAUUGGAAAUGUGUUUAGUGGAUUUUUAAAAGCAUGAAUGCUUUAAUAAAAGUAGAGA